rnacentral:rRNA from 2 species
CGGAUCGAUGGGAGCUUGCUCCCUGAGAUCAGCGGCGGACGGGUGAGUAACACGUGGGUAACCUGCCUGUAAGACUGGGAUAACUCCGGGAAACCGGGGCUAAUACCGGAUAACACCUACCCCCGCAUGGGGGAAGGUUGAAAGGUGGCUUCGGCUAUCACUUACAGAUGGACCCGCGGCGCAUUAGCUAGUUGGUGAGGUAACGGCUCACCAAGGCGACGAUGCGUAGCCGACCUGAGAGGGUGAUCGGCCACACUGGGACUGAGACACGGCCCAGACUCCUACGGGAGGCAGCAGUAGGGAAUCUUCCGCAAUGGACGAAAGUCUGACGGAGCAACGCCGCGUGAGUGAAGAAGGUUUUCGGAUCGUAAAACUCUGUUGUUAGGGAAGAACAAGUGCCGUUCGAAUAGGGCGGCACCUUGACGGUACCUAACCAGAAAGCCACGGCUAACUACGUGCCAGCAGCCGCGGUAAUACGUAGGUGGCAAGCGUUGUCCGGAAUUAUUGGGCGUAAAGCGCGCGCAGGUGGUUUCUUAAGUCUGAUGUGAAAGCCCACGGCUCAACCGUGGAGGGUCAUUGGAAACUGGGGAACUUGAGUGCAGAAGAGGAAAGUGGAAUUCCAAGUGUAGCGGUGAAAUGCGUAGAUAUUUGGAGGAACACCAGUGGCGAAGGCGACUUUCUGGUCUGUAACUGACACUGAGGCGCGAAAGCGUGGGGGAGCA